rnacentral:rRNA from 1 species
AACGAACGCUGGCGGCAUGCCUAACACAUGCAAGUCGAACGAGACCUUCGGGUCUAGUGGCGCACGGGUGCGUAACGCGUGGGAACCUGCCCUUAGGUUCGGAAUAACGCCCCGAAAGGGGUGCUAAUACCGGAUAAUGUCUUCGGACCAAAGAUUUAUCGCCUUUGGAUGGGCCCGCGUUGGAUUAGCUAGUUGGUAUGGUAAAAGCCUACCAAGGCGACGAUCCAUAGCUGGUCUGAGAGGAUGAUCAGCCACACUGGGACUGAGACACGGCCCAGACUCCUACGGGAGGCAGCAGUGGGGAAUAUUGGACAAUGGGCGAAAGCCUGAUCCAGCAAUGCCGCGUGAGUGAUGAAGGCCUUAGGGUUGUAAAGCUCUUUUACCCGGGAUGAUAAUGACAGUACCGGGAGAAUAAGCUCCGGCUAACUCCGUG